rnacentral:rRNA from 1 species
UACGGAGGGUGCAAGCGUUAGGCGGAAUCACUGGGCUUAAAGCGUGUGUAGGCGGCGGCGUAAGUACCUUGUGAAAUCCCGGGGCUCAACCCCGGAACUGCAUUCGAUACUGCGUGGCUUGAGUACUGGAGAGGAGAUCGGAAUUUACGGUGUAGCAGUGAAAUGCGUAGAUAUCGUAAGGAAGACCAGUGGCGAAGGCGGAUCUCUGGACAGUUACUGACACUGAGGCACGAAGGCCAGGGGAGCAAACGGG